rnacentral:rRNA from 1 species
GACGAACGCUGGCGGCGUGCCUAAUACAUGCAAGUCGAACGCAGUUGGGACGGGUGAGUAACACGUCGGUAACCUCCCAUCAGAGGGGAUAACACUUGGAAACAGAUGCUAAACCGACACUGAUUGAUGGACCCUCGGUGGAUUAGCUAGUUGGUUGGGUAACGGCUCACCAAGGCAACGAUCCAUAGCUGGCCGGAGAGGGUGAUCGGCCACACUGGGACUGAGACACGCCCCAGACUCAUACGUGAGGCAGGAGUAGGGAAUGAUCGGCAAUGGACGGAAGUAUGACCGAGCAAGGCCGCGUGAGUGAAGAAGGUUUUCGGAACGUAAAAUACUGUUGUUAAGGAAGCGGUAUCUAACCAAAAAGCAACGGCUAACUACGUGCCAGCAGCCGCGGUAAUUC